rnacentral:rRNA from 1 species
UACAGAGGUCCCAAGCGUUGUUCGGAUUCAUUGGGCGUAAAGGGUGCGUAGGCGGCGCGGUAAGUCGGGUGUGAAAUCUCGGGGCUUAACUCCGAAACUGCAUUCGAUACUGCCGUGCUUGAGGACUGGGGAGGAGACUGGAAUUUACGGUGUAGCGGUGAAAUGCGUAGAUAUCGUAAGGAAGACCAGUGGCGAAGGCGGGUCUCUGGACAGUUCCUGACGCUGAGGCACGAAGGCCAGGGGAGCAAACGGG